UAUUCCCAGCGACGAGACGAACCGGCAUCGGUUUGUCUCCAAAGGUGUGACUCCGCCUUGGGACGGGCCGUCGUGGUAUUAGGUAGUUGGCGGGGUAACGGCCCACCAAGCCUACGAUGCCUACCGGGCGUGCGAGCGUGGCCCGGCACACUGGGACUGAGACACUGCCCAGACUCCUACGGGAGGCUGCAGUCGAGAAUCUUCGGCAAUGGGCGAAAGCCUGACCGAGCGACGCCGCGUGGAGGACGAAGGCCUUCGGGUUGUAAACUCCUGUCGCAGGGGAGCAAGGGCCGGUGCAGAGCCGGUCUUGACCGAUCCUGGGAGGAAGCACGGGCUAAGUUCGUG
rnacentral:rRNA from 1 species